rnacentral:rRNA from 1 species
GUGCCAGCCGCCGCGGUAAUACGGAGGGUGCAAGCGUUGUCCGGAAUUAUUGGGUUUAAAGGGUGCGCAGGCGGUUGUGUAAGUCAGAGGUGAGAUCCCACAGCUUAACUGUGGACCGGCCUUUGAAACUGCAUAACUUGAGUACAGUUGAGGUAGGCGGAAUUGAUGGUGUAGCGGUGAAAUGCAUAGAUAUCAUCAAGAACGCCAAUUGCGUAGGCAGCUUACUGGACUGUAACUGACGCUGAGGCACGAAAGCGUGGGGAGCGAACAGGAUUAGAUACCCCAGUAGUCC